UCCGUAGGCGGUGCGGCAAGUCGGAAGUGAAAUCUCAGGGCUUAACCCUAGAGGCUGCUUCCGAAACUGCCGUGCUCGAGUGCGAGAGAGGCGAGUGGAAUUGCAGGUGUAGCGGUGAAAUGCGUAGAUAUCUGCAGGAACAUCCGAGGCGAAAGCGGCUCGCUGGAUCGCAACUGACGCUGAGGGACGAAAGCUAGGGGAGCAAACAGGAUUAGAUACCCUGGUAGUCCUAGCCCUAAACGAUCAGGACUGGGCGUGGGCCUCGUACGGGGCUCGUGCCGCAGCUAACGCGUUAAGUCCUGCGCCUGGGGAGUACGGUCGCAAGGCUGAA
rnacentral:rRNA from 1 species